AACAGAGUGAUACAGGCACAGUGUGAAUAGUCAGCUGAACAUGGGAAAUACUUGCACACUUUAUAUUAAUCAAAGAUGAAUUAUGGCGAAAUCACGUGAAAACAGACAAAGAGCCUAAUUGGAACUCUGGGGGAUGAUUUCAAAUACCUGGACAUGUACGUCUGUGUAAAACACUUUUGAAAUUAAAUGAUGAGUUCUUGGCAAUUAUGUUGAGGUCCUAUCCAGUGAGUUCCAGCUUUUUUUGUUAUACCGGCAGGAUGGCGUAAAUAUGUGAACACACGUGCAGGAGCUGCUCUGGAGUCCUCUUCCCGUCGUCAACUUCAUCCCACAGCUGGAACAGACGCCACUGCACACGCUUGAAGGUUCGUCGCUGGUACAUGUAACGGUACUGACACUUGGACUGACACCAGCUUCGCUUAAUCGCUCAGUAGAGACAGCAAAUUGUAGAGGGAAGUGUCCCCUUCUGGGCUGCAUUGAGGGCCCUAUGCCAACCUUCGACAUCGUUGUUCAAUCGCAAAGACUGGCGGCUCAUCUGUGUGCUGAGCUGGGUCCUCAAACUCCAUGGGUUCUUCAACGACUGGUGGUUCACGGAGAAAAGGAGGUUCAGGGACAAGGGGAGGCUGGGUGGUCACUGGCUGGUUGGCGUCUCGUGAUGGACUUGCUGGUCUUCAAGACAGCUUGGCUGGCUUGGCUCGGCGUGGACUUGAUGAGGCCCUGGGUGCAUGGAUUUUGCUUAGUGAUGAUGCUGCGUCACCUGCCCCGGGAGGAUGAAUGGCUGCUGGGUAGCCCUGGCUUGGAGCUGGUAGUGGUUGCUCCGGCUUGUCACUGGGCAGUGCAACGGAGCAGGAACUUGGUUCCAUAGGAGGUCUUUUAAAAUCCCUCCUUCGGCCCGACACUGCAGGUGGAACUGAGGAAAAACGAGGCUCAUCUGUGUGCUCAGGAUCCGUCAAGUGUGGACUGACCAGUGCCCACAUCACAGCCUACCGCUAACAUUCUUGCCUACUGUUG